GCAGGCAUCGAGCGAUGUGGUCGGCGACGACCGCAUCGCGAGAGGGAACCCGGUGAGAAUCCGGGACUGUCCCGCAGCGGUGAGCAGGAACGACCGCCGUCAACGGCACUGAUGCGUGCGCAUCGGGAAGCGACGGCCAGUAGGAACACCUCGGUGUGCGCCUGUGAGUCCGAAGACCUGCCAGUUGUGCUGGGUGCGC
rnacentral:ncRNA from 2 species